rnacentral:rRNA from 1 species
GACGAACGCUGGCGGCGUGCUUAACACAUGCAAGUCGAACGGAAAGGCCCUGCUUUUGUGGGGUGCUCGAGUGGCGAACGGGUGAGUAACACGUGAGUAACCUGCCCUUGACUUUGGGAUAACUUCAGGAAACUGGGGCUAAUACCGGAUAGGAGCUCCUGCUGCAUGGUGGGGGUUGGAAAGCUUCGGCGGUUGGGGAUGGACUCGCGGCUUAUCAGCUUGUUGGUGGGGUAGUGGCUUACCAAGGCUUUGACGGGUAGCCGGCCUGAGAGGGUGACCGGCCACAUUGGGACUGAGAUACGGCCCAGACUCCUCCGGGAGGCAGCAGUGGGGAAUAUUGCACAAUGGGCGGAAGCCUGAUGCAGCAACGCCGCGUGCGGGAUGACGGCCUUCGGGUUGUAAACCGCUUUCGCCUGUGACGAAGCGUGAGUGACGGUAAUGGGUAAAGAAGCACCGGCUAACUACGUG